rnacentral:rRNA from 1 species
UACGGAGGGGGCUAGCGUUGUUCGGAAUUACUGGGCGUAAAGCGCGCGUAGGCGGACCUGCAAGUCGGGGGUGAAAGCCCGAGGCUCAACCUCGGAACUGCCUUCGAUACUGCGGGUCUCGAGUCCGGGAGAGGUGAGUGGAAUUCCUAGUGUAGAGGUGAAAUGCGCAGAUAUCAGGAAGAACACCUAUGGCGAAGGCAGCUCUCUGGGACGGUACUGACGCUGAGACGCGAAAGCGUGGGGAGCGAACAGG